AACGUAGGUGGCGAGCGUUAUCCGGAUUUACUGGGCGUAAAGGGUGUGCAGGCGGGCUGUUAAGUGGUGUAUGAAAUAUCCCGGCUCAACCGGGAGAGGUUAUGCCAGACUGGCAGUCUAGAGAGCGAGAGAGGGACGUGGAAUUCCGGGUGUAGUGGUGAAAUGCGUAGAGAUCUGGAAGAACACCGAAGGCGAAGGCAGCCUCCUGGGGCGUUUCUGACGCUGAUGUGCGAAAGCUAGGGGAGCGAACGGG
rnacentral:rRNA from 1 species